CCUACGGGAGGCAGCAGUGGGGAAUAUUGCGCAAUGGGCGAAAGCCUGACGCAGCGACGCCGCGUGAGGGAUGAAGGUCUUCGGAUCGUAAACCUCUGUUAGCAGGGAAGAACGGGCACUGUGCUAAUCAGCAGUGAAUUGACGGUACCUGCAAAGGAAGCACCGGCUAACUCCGUGCCAGCAGCCGCGGUAAUACGGAGGGUGCGAGCGUUAAUCGGAUUUACUGGGGGUAAGGCGCUCGUAGGCGGUAUGUUAAGUCAAGGGUGAAAUCCCCGGGCUCAACGUGGGAAGUGCCGUGGAAACUGGCAAACUGGAGUGGGUGAGAGGAUAGUGGAAUUCCAGGUGUAGGAGUGAAAUGCGUAGAUAUCUGGAGGAACAUCAGUGGCGAAGGCGACUAUCUGGCACAUAACUGACGCUGAGGCGCGAAAGCGUGGGGAGCAAACAGGAUUAGAUACCCUGGUAGUC
rnacentral:rRNA from 1 species